rnacentral:rRNA from 1 species
UACGAAGGGGCUAGCGUUGCUCGGAAUCACUGGGCGUAAAGGGUGCGUAGGCGGGUCUUUAAGUCAGGGGUGAAAUCCUGGAGCUCAACUCCAGAACUGCCUUUGAUACUGAAGGUCUUGAGUUCGGAGAGGUGAGUGGAACUGCGAGUGUAGAGGUGAAAUUCGUAGAUAUUCGCAAGAACACCAGUGGCGAAGGCGGCUCACUGGCCCGAUACUGACGCUGAGGCACGAAAGCGUGGGAGCAAACAGG